GGGCAGGAUGCCUCCUGCUGUGGGUCAUCAGGCUCAUGAAGGGAGUGUGAGAGAUCACAUGGUGUUCUUCAUGGAUAGUAAUAAAGGCAUGAUGGGGUAAGCAGAACCAAGGGAUGGGUACACCUGCCUGUUCUCUCUUUUUUUGCUAUCGGAAGAAGACCACUACUCACCGCCGAUGCUCCACCUUCAUUCUAUGGUUGCGAUUGUUUUUUAAAAACUUUUCUAUUGUCUGUUUGUUCAGUGUUCACUUAAUAAGAAAAGUUUUCUCAAUUUAAUAUUUUAAUGGCACACCUAAUAAAACAUAGUCGAGCAUUGAACAUU